rnacentral:ncRNA from 2 species
UUCAGAGUAGAAAACGAAGCGUUAAGUGCUAAAAGGAUGGGAUGUUGCCUUUUGGACGAAGAAUGGAUUCAUUCGCGGUUUUGUUUUCGCAUUCGCUGCA